UUACCUGUGAACAGGGAGUGUUGAGCUGCUGCCAAGAAAAAAAGAGAACUCUUAUUUGGAAGAAUUUCGUAGUCACUUUGUGCAGGCAGAAAUGAAGACUUAAAGGCUGUGGCAAAGGAGAGUAAGACCUGGAGACUGUCUUGAGCUCCGUGGAAAUGAUCAGACAGAAUCCUUCCCCAUCGCAGAGCACUUCUGGCAUGUCAUUGCUUUGCUCAAUGACUUGGAAAGCAGUUCAGCAGGCAGUACCAUUGAAAUGGCAGCUUCUGUUGAUGGAAGAUGACACAGGAGAAAAGGAAGAGAAAAGAAAGGAGCAGGCUGAGGAAGAGAAAUUAUUCACGAUUGAAGAUGGGGAGAAGAAACAAAAAGCACAUGCUGGAUGGUGGGGAGACAGUACUCAGACCAUGGCAUUCACUAGCUGGUGCAAGAACAGACCCAAACUGAAGUGCAUUGAGAUCUACUGACAAUAACCUUUUCAUCAAACAUGAGGAGCUGCAUGUCUUUUUGCUUCAAAUAGUCUUAUCCUUAGGCAAUGGUGACGUUAAUGAGGCCUGUGGACAUGACAGGAGAGAGGACACUGCAGAUUCUUCAGGUUUGUGAAUCUCAUCCCUCUGGCAAGCCCCUGAAAUAUUGGAUCCGAGAGGCAGUCCUAAUGCUUUACCAGGAGAAGAACAUUUGUCAGAAUAUCAAGACAGAAAUGCUUCUUCAAAUGGUGGUGCCUGUGUGGAUGUGCGGGACCUCAGCGUAAGCUCUCCUUUGUUGCCAGCCCUCUUGUACAUGGAUCAGCCAUGCACUGGCCCGUGAAGAGAGGAAGAAGCCAAGCCUUUGGUGUGUCUUACAUCUGCUCAGAAGAUACUCACGGCUUUUCCAAAGACCCUCAAGUACUGAAGAACUGCAGGCUUCCUGCGGAGCUGGUCCUGUGCUGUACCCCUACCUCUAAGUUUGGGCUGUGUCCCUUGUUUGGAGGAACACAGUCCUGCAGGCCAGGCUUGCAGGGGCUGGAGCAGAAGGCAAAUGCCUGCAGAUUGAGCAGCUCAGGGUGCUCCUCUCCAUACCAGGACAGUCCCUACACUGGAUUCAGGCUAAGACACAGUUGUCUGGGGCUCUUCGUAGGUGAAGGCCAGAUGGAGCCAUUCUGGAUGGCAAAUUGGAUUCCCUCAAGGAAAGCUGUGAGGUGUGAGGCACUUGGUUCCUGUUGCUUUUUAUCUGUGUUAUUUGGGCCCCUUUUUCUUUCAGGCUCUGGUGAAAAAUCCCACUGUCACAUCUCAGAAGGAGGUUACUGUGGCAACCUUAACUCUUGCUUUCUUGGCUGUGCAGCAGAGCUUGCG